GCGCAGGAUAUCUGAGAGGAGCUGUCCUCAGUACGAGAGGACCGGGAUGGACUGACCUCUGGUGCACCGGUUGUCACGCCAGUGGCACGGCCGGGCAGCCAAGUCGGGAAGGGAUAAACGCUGAAGGCAUCUAAGCGUGAAGCCCCCCUCAAGAUGAGAUAUCCCAGUGAAAACAUAAGACCCCUUGAAGACGACGAGGUUGAUAGGGCAGGGGUGGAAGUGCAGCAAUGCACGGAGCUGGCUGUCACUAAUAGGUCGAAAGCUUGACCA
rnacentral:rRNA from 1 species